rnacentral:rRNA from 1 species
UACGUAGGGUGCGAGCGUUAAUCGGAAUUACUGGGCGUAAAGCGUGCGCAGGCGGUUUUGUAAGACAGAGGUGAAAUCCCCGGGCUUAACCUGGGAACUGCAUUUGUGACUGCACGGCUAGAGUGUGUCAGAGGGGGGUAGAAUUCCACGUGUAGCAGUGAAAUGCGUAGAUAUGUGGAGGAAUACCGAUGGCGAAGGCAGCCCCCUGGGAUAACACUGACGCUCAUGCACGAAAGCGUGGGGAGCAAACAGG